CCCUUAGAUGUUCUGGGCUGCACGCGCGCUACACUGACGAGAUCAACAAGUUUAACCUUUCCUUGGCCGACAGGCCCGGGUAAUCUUUUAAACUCUCGUCGUGCUGGGGAUUGAGGAUUGCAAUUAUUUCUCAUGCAACGAGGAAUUCCUAGUAAGUGCGAGUCAUCAGCUCGCAUUGAUUACGUCCCUGCCCUUUGUACACACCGCCCGUCGCUAUGACCGAUUGAAUGUCUCUGUGAGUCUCUAGGACUCUAUCCUUGAAGACUGGUUCGCCAGUAGUCGAGGACGGGGGAACAAAGACAAACAAAGAUAUUUAGAGGACAUAAAAGUCGUAACA
rnacentral:rRNA from 1 species